CGGCGGUCGUCGGAACGAGAACAUUGUCAACAAAAGUAAAGUGUACGUGUAAAAUAAACAAAAUCGAGUAACAGGAAGUGGACAACUGUGAGGAAUCAACACGUGCGAUAAAAAAUGAACGAUAAAGGGGAAAAUAAGAAGAAGAAGAAGAAGAAGAAGAAGAAGACAAAGUAUUACGUUGGAGAUGUUGGCAACGUUGCUGUGUUCUUGAGACCAAGGUGUCGGAGCGAAAGGCUAUACAGGGAUCUCCUCUCGCUGAGAAGAGAAGAGGAGAGAAGA